AUCCUGUAUCACUAGUCUCAGAGGACAACACCUGAGCUCUGAAGAAGCAACAGCUCAUGCAGGCUUGGAAGGAUUUAGAUAGCAUUAAAUUGGAACUCAGUUCUGUAUUGGGAGCUUUGCAGAAAGUACCAUAUUCAAGGAGUUAGUGAACUUGACCAGACCAUGUCUGUUGUGUUGAUCCUUGUACUUGUUGCACCCCAGCACUAAGGGACAGACUCCUCAAAAAAGGCUGGCAUGGUUCUGGUUAGCCACCCGGUGCCAUCAGGUGCUAAGAUUUGUGCUUCAGCAGGUCUCUUCACCAAGGAACUCACAGUCUCCUGUUUUAAACACUCAUCUCCCUGAACUGUCUACUGAUCUGAAAAUAAAGACCAUUGCCUUGAAAUUUACUUGCUAUCUAUAAUACGCUAAGCAUGCCUCUGGAUUUGGUGUAUCAAUUAUUGAUUUGCUCACUCCAAUUACAAUGAGGAUGGAGUUCCAGUGAGC
rnacentral:lncRNA from 1 species